AGCGAACGCUGGCGGCAGGCCUAACACAUGCAAGUCGAACGGACCCCUCGGGGUUAGUGGCGGACGGGUGAGUAACACGUGGGAACGUGCCUUUAGGUUCGGAAUAGCUCCUGGAAACGGGUGGUAAUGCCGAAUGUGCCCCUAGGGGGAAAGAUUUAUCGCCUUUAGAGCGGGCAGGGUCUGAUUAGCUAGUUGGUGAGGUAAUGGCUCACCAAGGCUACGAUCAGUAGCUGGUCUGAGAGGAUGACCAGCGACAUUGGGACUGAGACACGGCGCAAACUCCUACGUGAGGCAGCAGGGCGUAAUCUUGCGCAAUGGGCGAAAGCCUGACGCAGCCAUGCCGCGUGGAUGAUGAAGGUCUUAGGAUUGUAAAAUCCUUUCACCGGUGAAGAUAAUGACUGUAGCCGGAGAAGAAGCCCCGGCUAACUUCGUGCCAGCCGCCGCAGUAACAC
rnacentral:rRNA from 1 species